CCUAGGGCGGCUGCAGUGGGGAAUAUUGGACAAUGGGCGAAAGCCUGAUCCAGCCAUGCCGCGUGUGUGAAGAAGGCCUUCGGGUUGUAAAGCACUUUCAGUGGGGAAGAAAGCCUUGGGGCUAAUACCCUCGAGGAAGGACAUCACCCACAGAAGAAGCACCGGCUAACUCCGUGCCAGCAGCCGCGGUAAUACGGAGGGUGCGAGCGUUAAUCGGAAUUACUGGGCGUAAAGCGCGCGUAGGCGGUCUGAUAAGCCGGUUGUGAAAGCCCCGGGCUCAACCUGGGAACGGCAUCCGGAACUGUCAGGCUAGAGUGCAGGAGAGGAAGGUAGAAUUCCCGGUGUAGCGGUGAAAUGCGUAGAGAUCGGGAGGAAUACCAGUGGCGAAGGCGGCCUUCUGGACUGACACUGACGCUGAGGUGCGAAAGCGUGGGUAGCAAACAGGAUUAGAUACCCGAUAGUC
rnacentral:rRNA from 1 species